CUUUGUUUCUCAGAUAUAAACGAACAAAACUCUCUCUUCUCAUAACUUUCGAUUUUUUUCUUUCUACGACUUUUCAUCUUCUUCUUCUUCAAUAUCAAAUUGUCAUCUGAUUUUUCCACUUCUCUGAGUUUUUCUGCAUGCAAUGAUGGAUUCAUCAUGCAGUCAGUUCUACUAUGGUUUAAUCCUCCGACUGCUCCGCCUCCGUCCGUCAUGGCCAGCAAAAAAUUUGAGACGAGUUCCAAAGUCAAGACCUCCGUCUGAUCCGCUUGCCUCCUCCGUAGUAGGCAAAACCGCUAGAUCUAGUUCCAGAGUUCUUAUAUCCAACAAUUGAUAAGCAAAAUUGUAGGUCUGCAGAUCCGGUGGACCAGAUCCAGUCGACCAGGUCUGCAAAUCCGGUGUCCGGUGGACCAUAUCCAGCCAACCAGAUUUUUGUCCACCACUAUCAAACUUGUCUACAUUGCAUGAUCCGGUGUCUGGUGGACCAGAUCCAGCAUACCAGGCUUUUGUCCACCACUAUCAUGUCCUUCUUUCUCUUGAAUUGGACCAUAUCCGUUUGGUCAUGUGUUUUGUGUCCAUUACUAACAAAAAACUUGUCCACACUGCAUGUCUGCAAAUCCAGUGGACCACAUCCUGUAGCCAAGGUUUUUGUCCACCACUAUUAUGUCCUUUAACUCUUGAGUGGACCACACUCAAGGUUUGGUCUGACGAUUUAUGUCCACUGCUAACAAAAAAAAAAUGUCCACACUACUACAAUUUGUAUAUUGAAAGAGAAAUGUGUUUCAGAUGA